rnacentral:rRNA from 1 species
UACGUAGGGGGCAAGCGUUGUCCGGAAUCAUUGGGCGUAAAGAGCGUGUAGGCGGUUCGGUAAGUCGGCUGUGAAAGUCCAGGGCUCAACCCUGGGAUGCCGGUCGAUACUGCCGGACUAGAGUUCGGAAGAGGCGAGUGGAAUUUCCGGUGUAGCGGUGAAAUGCGUAGAUAUCGGAAGGAACAUCAGUGGCGAAAGCGACUUCCUGGUCCAGCAUCGACGUUCAGGCACGAAAGCGUGGGGAGCAAACAGG